rnacentral:misc_RNA from 1 species
UCUCUCUCUCUCUCUAUAUAUAUUCUCUAUCACUCUGUUCUGUGGUUUUCUUUCUUAAUAUGAAGCUUUGAUCUUAUCAGCAUUUCCUUCCUUAAUACUUCCUUGUUUCCUUCUGGUUCUGGAUCAUAUUUGUUUUUUGCUUUUGCUUCAAUAACUCUUCUUGUUUCGGGAAAAUUUUCUUUCUUGCUUUGAUUCGUUUGUUUCUCGCUUGUGCUAGUGGGUUUUUUUUUUGUCAUGUCUAAGUUAUGAUAAAUUUUUGCGUCAUUUUUGAAUUGCGGAUUUUUUUUCUUCUGUUUUUUAAUUGCUGGGAUUUGUUCUGUUGGGAAAUUUAUUCUCCACUAUAAAAUCUAAUGUGGUUUUUCUUUGAUUUGCAUUUUUCAAAGCUAUUUUAGUUCUAUUAAACUGGGUUGCUUCUGUUUUGCUUGGAUGAUCUCUCUGUUAUUCUCGUGGUUUAGAGUUUAGAUUCUUGAUUUUCUUGUAAUUUGCGUUAAAUUUAUCCGUACAAGUUUUAGCAUUUGUCAUGCUCUGAUGUGGAUCUUUUAGGUGUAAGUUUUCGUUUUUGUAUUUGGUAAAUUAUUUAUUGGUUUUAGAUCUGGUUACCUGAGCUUCUUCUUCGUGGAUUUUGGAAUUUUUUUUUAUUCAUUCGAACUCUUUUCUUAUGAGGGCUAAAAUUUUCAGUUGGCUCUCUCUCUCUCCCUCUCUCUCU